GCUGUUCAGUUUGUGGACAUGGUGAAGGGGAAAUCUCUCACGGGGGUUGUGAAUGCCCAGGCCCUUACCAGUGCCUUCUCUCCACACACCAAGCCUUGGAUUGGUCUGGCAGAAGCUCUGGGGACACUGAUGCGAGCCUGGGCUGGGUCCCCCAAAGGGACCAUCCAGGUGAUAACACAGGGAACAUCCCUGAAGAAUGCUGGGAAUUGCCUAAGCCCCGCAGUCAUUGUCGGUCUCCUGAAAGAGGCUUCCAAGCAGGCGGAUGUGAACUUGGUGAACGCCAAGCUGCUGGUGAAAGAGGCUGGCCUCAAUUCGCCUUGCCUUCUCCACACAGGUCACCACCUCCCACAGCCCUGCUGCACCAGGGGAGCAAGGCUUCGGGGAAUGCCUCCUGGCCGUGGCCCUGGCAGGCGCCCCUUACCAGGCUGUGGGCUUGGUCCAGGGCACUACACCUGUACUGCAGGGGCUCAAUGGAGCUGUCUUCAGGCCAGAAGUGCCUCUCCGCAGGGACCUGCCCCUGCUCCUAUUCCGGACUCAGAC
rnacentral:sRNA from 1 species